CCUUCACGUGUCAAUUCUAGAAGAAUCUGCUCAUCUCUCUUUUUUUUUUUUUUUUUUUUUUUUUUUUUUUCCCAUCUCUUCUCGUCUAUAUUUUUUUUUUUUUUUUUUGAUAACUCUGGUAUCUGGGCAGCCACAAUCCCAACUAUCCCCCGGAAGGGGUCCAGCGCCCCAACGGAAGGGAUGUUAAAUCCGUUGUGACCAAGACUCGAACCCGGGUGGCGGGCAGUACAGCUGUACCUCCUUUACCACCAAGCUACGAG
rnacentral:lncRNA from 1 species